rnacentral:rRNA from 1 species
GACGAACCGUGCGAACGUUGUUCGGAAUCACUGGGCUUAAAGGGCGCGUAGGCGGCUUAUCAAGUCAGGGGUGAAAUCCGGCAGCUCAACUGUCGAAGUGCCUUUGAUACUGACGAGCUCGAGGGAGAUAGGGGUGUGUGGAACUUCCGGUGGAGCGGUGAAAUGCGUUGAUAUCGGAAGGAACGCCGGUGGCGAAAGCGACACACUGGAGCUCUUCUGACGCUGAGGCGCGAAAGCCAGGGGAGCAAACGGG